rnacentral:rRNA from 166 species
UUGACCUCAAAUCAGGUAGGACUACCCGCUGAACUUAA